GACCUGAUGGUGUAGUGGUAACAUGCCUGCUGAAUUUAUAGAUGUAGAACGCUGUAAGCAGGAGGUCCUGGUUUGAACCCGGGUCAGGUCA